rnacentral:misc_RNA from 1 species
GUCUUUUAACACUUUAGAGCCUACAGCUUAAUUUUUUCCCUCUUUGAGUUGAGAAAUACACAAAAUAUUUGUUGAAUUGCAUCUAGGAAAGUGAAACCUCAUAAGUUCCCACUCACAAGCGUGCAAAACUGCUCAAUUUGAAAAGAGAACGUACAAAAUAUUGAAAAGAAAAAAAAAAGAAGAUAGAAUAGGAAUUGGGACGUCGUGUUACAGCUUAAAAAAAAAAAACAAAAUUCACUUCAAGGCAUUUCUAUACAUGUCUGUCUCUUAUUGGCUUCACAUUUCAUCUCACAGAAUCACAUAAGUUCUCCCACUCCGGCCAGUCGCCAGGCAAUAAAUCACAAAUUUCUACUCUAGAAAGAUCGACCACCGUUAAAUAAACAAAAUAAUCGUCGGAGCAGACCCCACAUAUUCUCUCUCCACGUGGGCUAACAGCUAAAAAAUACAACUGGAUUGGAUUCAAAAUCAUCACGAAUACAGACAGAUCUAACAUUAAAAUAAUGGAAAACAUACAACCCGAUAACAAUCAUCUCUGAAACAACAACAGUAUCGCUGCUAAAAUGCGCAGCUCCCUCACUUCCCAUCAUGCUCAGCCAUAGUCCACAGAUUUAAAAAUCAUAAUAAAUUAAAAUAAAAUAAACCUCUACUCUCUAAUCAAUAACAACUCAAUAUUCAAAAAUAAAAGAAAAUAAUAAUAAAAAAAAAGUUAUCAAAUUGACAGACCUACAUAAUUACGAUUCAGGACAUGAGAAUCGAACAAAUUACAGUGGCAGAAACAGUGAACAACGCAGGGGCGGUCACGGGAAUAGCCGCGUUGUCCGCUGUGCUAUUCUCCGAUCCUACUGGCGCAUCUGAAGGAGCUCCUUGCGGGGUUUCCGACGGCGGUGCUGGUGGAGAAGCGGCCAGUGGUGAUGGGGCCUCAACACUAGCAGGAGCUGGACUUGGUGUUGUAGCCGGAGAAGGAGAAGGCGCGCUCACCGGUUCAAGGGCUGGCGCAGGAGAUGGAGACUUUCCGAACAACUCUGCAGGGAGAAGUACAUUAUCAACAGUGAAAAUCAUCAAUGGCGUGGAGUCGAGAACAGUGUCGGCAACUCUCGAUGAGUCAACCCCUGUGUGGAGAGUUACGGAGUCACCAGCUGCAGUCACUGUCAGAUCGAACUUCCCUGCGCCAUUACUGGCCAAUGUUGUGAUUGGAUCUUUUUGGGUCUUCAAGGAACCGAAAGGACUGUAUCCAGCGGCGGCAUGAUACUGUAAGAGCGAAACAAUCUCAGCAUUUGUGAGCUUGCUCAGAUCGGGGACUCCUUUGGCCUUAAAGGCUUCAUCGUUCGGUGCAAAAAUGGUCAAACCUUUAUCAGCCGCUGCCUGAUACGUCUUAAUCACACCGCUCGACUGAAGCAAACUAGCGAAUGUUUUGCAUCCAGCCUUCUCAAGCAAAGCUGUAAUGUUCACAUCGGAAGGUGUCGGGGCCGGAGCCGUUAGGAUUCCGGGAGCAAUAAUCGGCGCGCUGAUCUCGAGGACGGAGAUAUUGUAAGGGAUUUGUUUGGCUCCGCUGCCCCUGGCUCCAAGCUCGAC